UACGGGGGGGGCAAGCGUUGUUCGGAAUUACUGGGCGUAAAGGGCUCGUAGGCGGCCAACUAAGUCAGACGUGAAAUCCCCAGGCUCAACCUGGGAACUGCGUCUGAUACUGGAUGGCUUGAAUCCGGGAGAGGGAUGCAGAAUUCCAGGUGUAGCGGUGAAAUGCGUAGAUAUCCGGAGGAACACCGGUGGCGAAGGCGGCUUACUAAACAGGCAUUGACGCUGAGGCACGAAAGCGUGGGGAUCAAACAGG
rnacentral:rRNA from 1 species